GAUGAACGCUGACAGAAUGCUUAACACAUGCAAGUCAACUUGAACUUCGGUUUGGGUGGCGGACGGGUGAGUAACGCGUAAAGAACUUGCCUCACAGCUAGGGACAACAUUUGGAAACGAAUGCUAAUACCUGAUAUUAUGAUUUUAGGGCAUCCUAGAAUUAUGAAAGCUAUAUGCGCUGUGAGAGAGCUUUGCGUCCCAUUAGCUAGUUGGAGAGGUAACGGCUCACCAAGGCGAUGAUGGGUAGCCGGCCUGAGAGGGUGAACGGCCACAAGGGGACUGAGACACGGCCCUUACUCCUACGGGAGGCAGCAAUGGGGAAUAUUGGACAAUGGACCAAGAGUCUGAUCCAGCAAUUCUGUGUGCACGAUGAAGUUUUUCGGAAUGUAAAGUGCUUUCAGUUGGGAAGAAAAAAAUGACGGUACCAACAGAAGAAGUGACGGCUAAAUACGUG
rnacentral:rRNA from 1 species